AAAGCGAACUGAAAUCUAGCAAUUGGACCUGAGGGAGCACCACCAAGGCCAGGAAAGAAAUCAGCCCGAACGCAGAAGCGUGAUUGUGUUCCGGGGGGCGGGGGGGGCACAAGGAGUUUCUUUUCUUAACUGGAGAAGGGGCUGCCAUGUGGCUGCAGACUUCACAGUGAACUAUCUAGUAACAGGAAUUACGGCAAUCUUAAUUAAUUUGACUUUCGCUCAUGUUGUCGCUAGUUACUAAAUGGCAAAUAAAAGUUCUUUCCAGUGACCCUUAUGUAAAACUGCUGUAAAUGCUCACAAUAAGUGGUACCUUGUGAAUAUGGCCAGCCACAUCCCCUGGUAGCCCUCCUCCUCACCCUUGGCUGGGAGAUACAGGGUCGGGCUCAGCUUCUUAGAACCACCAGGGGUGGGGGGGGGAGUGCCUCCAGGGCACCCCAGGCUCCUCACUGGCCUUGGUUGCAUCACCCACUCAUGCAGUCACUCAGCUCAGUUUGAACACAGGGCUCGGGGGGUCUCCUGAGAGUGAGUGAUGGGGGGGGAGGCUGGUGUUAUGCCUUCUUUGGGUGGCACUUUGUCUUGUCUUUCCUCUAUGGAGCUUGCCCCCUUCUCGUGCUGCUGAUGGAGGCAUGGAAGGGGGGGUAGUCCUGCCUUCUGAGCCCCCAGAAGAUGGCUUCCCCGUUUACCAGUGGCCAACACCCUGCUUUUGUGUGUGUGUGUGUGUUUGUGUGCGCACACGUGCCUAUCUCAUAUUUAUCAUAGGUCAUUUCCAGUCAGUUUCUGAUUUCUUCUCUGUGCCGUUUUAUUUGCAUGCAGGCUCAGGGCAGCCCCCCCCCGCACCCCCAGUGGAUUCUGGGUGUGGAAAAACUGGACUCCAGCACUUGGAGCUUGCUCACUCUUGUAGACUGUCUGCUGCCUGCAGUUCCUGCCUUAGACAGACUCCCGGGGAUCCCACCUCCGCUGACUCAGAAAUAUGCCCGCGUUCAACAGGAUGCAAACCCGUAUAAAACUUGGCUGAUCUCUCCAGGAGCCCAACAGGUCAGUGCCAACCAAUGCUGGUUCUUAAGAGGGCGGCUCACUCUCUGGUGUCUCUGGCUUGGGAUGGCCACUCCGCCAGUCCUCCCCUUGCUCACUGAUUGCAGCUAAUAAAUGAACAAAGGCACCCUUUGACA
rnacentral:lncRNA from 1 species